rnacentral:rRNA from 1 species
UACGAAGGGGGCUAGCGUUGCUCGGAAUUACUGGGCGUAAAGGGCGCGUAGGCGGAUAGUUUAGUCAGAGGUGAAAUCCCCGGGCUCAACCUGGGAACUGCUUCCGAGACUGAACGACUAGAGAUCGGUAGAGGGCGGUGGAAUUUCCGGUGUAGCGGUGAAAUGCGUAGAUAUCGUAAGGAAGACCAGUGGCGAAGGCGGGUCUCUGGACAGUUCCUGACGCUGAGGCACGAAGGUCAGGGGAGCAAACGGG